AUGAGACUGAGCAUGGAGACGCUACGGGCAACGACUAUUCGGACAGGGGUUCAACUCCCCUCGCCUCCACUU
rnacentral:tmRNA from 1 species